rnacentral:rRNA from 1 species
UACGGGGGGGGCAAGCGUUGUUCGGAAUUACUGGGCGUAAAGGGGACGUAGGCGGCCAACUAAGUCCGACGUGAAAUCCCAAGGCUUAACCUUGGAACUGCGUCGGAUACUGGAUGGCUUGAAUUCGGGAGAGGGAUGCAGAAUUCCAGGUGUAGCGGUGAAAUGCGUAGAUAUCAUGAGGAACAUCAGUGGCGAAGGCGAAACUCUGGCAUAUUUCUGACGCUGAGACGCGAAAGCGUGGGGAGCAAACAGG